UGCGGGAUGGAGAAGUGGUUAUCUCGUCAGUCUCAUAAGCUGAAGGCCGUGCGUUCGAGUCGCACUCUCCGCAA
rnacentral:tRNA from 1 species